rnacentral:tRNA from 23 species
GGCGUGGCCAAGCGGUAAGGCAGCGGGUUUUGGUCCCGUUACUCGGAGGUUCGAAUCCUUCCGUCCCAGA